rnacentral:tRNA from 1 species
AGAUCGUUAGCUCAGUGGUAGAGCGCUUGUCUUACAAAUAAGUGGUCACUGGUUCAAGUCCAGUACGAUCUA